AGUCUGUACAUAAAACGAAUAAUAACUAUUUGAACGAUAUGCGAGUAUUAUUUAAAGAAAACCUUUUAGAAUGCAUUUAGACAAAUAACAUAACAUUACUUAAUUUGUCCUUGCCAUUUCGCUUUAUCUUUUGGUCAUUUUUUCGCUACGCUAAUCUAAUGGAAAUGUAACGCGAAAAAAUUAUUAAAUAUGAUUUGAAUGAGUUUUGAAACAAAAUUGCUGCAACUUUCCAAAUUGAAAAAAUUAAAAUCCCUAACUCAUAUUUUUCCUAAUUAUAAUUCAAAAUCGAUGACAAAAUCAAAAUAGUUGAUUAGUACAAAUAUAGAAAAUAUACAUUGAUUGAAUGGAAACGGAAUGGAGCCAACAUAAAAAUAACAGAAUAAUAGAAAAAAUGGAAUUAAAACAAAUAGACUGACAGCGCGACGGGAAGCAAGGCAAUAGCAAAUCAUAUUAUGUGAACACUUAGAUGAAAACUUAGGCGAAAACUGGAUAGGCGCUAAUGACCAGGUAUCAAAAUUUGAGAAAGCUAUUAUCUGGAAAAGGAAAAAUAUCCAGGCUGUUUCAUUUAAAAUAAGAAGGUUGUUCUCACUGCAGAACUGGCAUCGCUUUUUUUGACAGUCAUCGCCUAUAUCACCAUUCCUAAGCAAUUCGGGGCAAUCAAAUAUUUCAAAAACUGCUGGAUAUAGGUGUACAUUAUAAAUAAAUAAAUAAAGAUAAAUUGGG